rnacentral:rRNA from 1 species
UGCAAGUCGAGCGGCAGCGCGGGCAACCUGGCGGCGAGCGGCGAACGGGUGAGUAAUGCAUCGGAACAUGUCCAUGGAUGGGGGAUAGCCCGGCGAAAGCCGGAUUAAUACCGCAUGAGCCCGAGAGGGGAAAGUGGGGGACCGCAAGGCCUCACGUCGAUGGGUUGGCCGAUGCCCGAUUAGCUAGUUGGUGAGGUAAUGGCUCACCAAGGCGAUGAUCGGUAGCUGGUCUGAGAGGAUGAUCAGCCACACUGGGACUGAGACACGGCCCAGACUCCUACGGGAGGCAGCAGUGGGGAAUUUUGGACAAUGGGGGCAACCCUGAUCCAGCCAUUCCGCGUGAGUGAAGAAGGCCUUCGGGUUGUAAAGCUCUUUUGUCCGGAGCGAAAAGGUUACGGUGAAUAUCCGUGACUAGUGACGGUACCGGAAGAAUAAGCACCGGCUAACUACGUGCCAGCAGCCGCGGUAAUACGUAGGGUGCGAGCGUUAAUCGGAAUUACUGGGCGUAAAGCGUGCGCAGGCGGUUUUGUAAGCCAGAUGUGAAAUCCCCGGGCUCAACCUGGGAAUGGCAUUUGGGACUGCAAGGCUUGAGUGCGGCAGAGGAGACUGGAAUUCCUGGUGUAGCAGUGAAAUGCGUAGAUAUCAGGAGGAAUACCGAUGGCGAAGGCAGGUCUCUGGGCUGACACUGACGCUCAUGCAC